CUCGGCUGCACGAUUUGCAUCCGACUGUAAUCACUGUAACAGAAACAGAAUCAACUUCAUCACUUCUUGUAGCAGAGUUCUGCGAAGUAGGACACGACACGGUUACACUUUUCGAAGGAAAUUCGAUUUUUACCGAAUGCUGCGUAAUUUCGAAGGGAAAUGGCGAAGGAUUUCGUGUCGACUGGAGCUCACAAGUAUCCUUGAUGCGGAAAUGGGAAAUGUUGAAGAUGGGCGAUUGGACGUGUUCCUGAAUAAUUGACGAUAUGGAAUAUGGAAAAUCAAAAACGUCUACGUAAGUGAAGAGAGCUCAAUCACUGUGCGAUUUUUGGAGAAAAACUGGCCAGGAGCAGAGUAAAUUUCAAUAAAAUAUUGAUUCGAACCUGAGAAUGAAGAUGAAGAAUUUCGAAGAUGCUCAUGCUACUAAUCAUGUUGAAAGAACUUGUGAUAAAUAAAAUUGUUCCUUCGUCAUUUUUUUCAAUUUCGGUCUGAACGUUUCUCUUUCUACCCAAUCAUAUGAUCACGUUCCUGAGCGCAAUAAAGGCUGAUUUAAAGUUACUGAAAAUUCAUAACCGAAUGUAGUUAACAUUCAAACAUAUCAAUCAUUUCAGAAAAGAAUUUGUUUCGUCGAUGUUAGGCGUUCUACAUACCAGAUAAUCGAGUUUAGAAAUUUAAGUCACGAUAUCAUGAAACCAAGCAAAGUUGGAAAUUCCGAAGCAGAACAGUUCG